CUACGUGCCAGCAGCCGCGGUAAUACGUAGGGUGCGAGCGUUAAUCGGAAUUACUGGGCGUAAAGCGAGCGCAGACGGUUACUUAAGCAGGAUGUGAAAUCCCCGGGCUCAACCUGGGAACUGCGUUCUGAACUGGGUGACUAGAGUGUGUCAGAGGGAGGUAGAAUUCCACGUGUAGCAGUGAAAUGCGUAGAGAUGUGGAGGAAUACCGAUGGCGAAGGCAGCCUCCUGGGAUAACACUGACGUUCAUGCUCGAAAGCGUGGGUAGCAAACAGGAUUAGAUACCCUGGUAGUCCACGCCCUAAACGAUGUCAAUUAGCUGUUGGGCAACUUGAUUGCUUAGUAGCGUAGCUAACGCGUGAAAUUGACCGCCUGGGGAGUACGGUCGCAAGAUUAAAACUCAAAUGAAUUGACGGGGGCCCGCACAAGCGGUGGAGCAUGUGGUUUAAUUCGAUGCAACGCGAAGAACCUUACCUACUCUUGACAUCCAUGGAAUCCUGUAGAGAUACGGGAGUGC
rnacentral:rRNA from 1 species